GUUAAAAUGCAUACAUAUAAGAAGCAAUUAAGAACGGUUAAAAACAGUUUGACAGUAAUUUAAUGUAAACAAAUAGAAGUAUGGCUGUAAGGAACUGUGGUAACGCCUCCCCUUUAAGAGACUCGUUGGCCCAUUUUGAAGCAGCACUGAGCAGAGAGCAGAAGCAGACAGACUAACAAACUAAAAAGUUAAAAGCUUUUGUGAAGAGUUGAUUUAGAAGUUCAAAAACAAUACUUACCUGCUUGGGCAUUUGCGAAGAUUAAAUACAAGAAAACCACAACGUUUUUGGUCAGGUUUUUUUUUUUGUUGUUGUUGUUGUUUAUGUUGCUGUUUGAAAUUGGACUUUGGUCUGCCGCAUGUGGGGACUACGCACACAGACACGGGAUACAAGAUGGCAAGCCAAACCCAUGGACAAAGUUUCUAGACACAACUCGGCUUCUUCGUGCCAGAGAGGAUCUGCUGUGUACGAUGGGACUCCGGUAAACUGGCUGCCAGAGCAGUAGGAGUGUUGGGACUAAUUUUUUCCCUUGGAACUGAACUGAACUGAAAUGUACUGACCUUAAUUGAAUUUGAUGGUAUAAGUGAAACUGAACUUGAAUUGGAUCUGACGUGUUACUUCACAUUGCAUUCUGUUUCAUCAUUGUGAAUAUUAUGAUUUAAUAUAAUUUAUGAAGGUUUAAGAGUGUUUUACUUGAAUUGACUUUGAUUUGGAAACGACAAAUGUUUUCUCACCUGUAAGGAAAGGAAUAAGAGUUAACUUAAGGGAUAAAAAAGAGAAAAUAGGCACACCCUAUUAACCUAAAAUAAAAUACUUAGACCGGUCUAAUCUAAUAAAAUAAGCUAGAUAACCAAAUUAUUUGUGACCUAGGUGAAGGAAAGGGAAAGAGGAAAAAAAGGAUUAAAGUGGGUUCUACCUCCCUUUUGCUACUUGCAGGACUGUUCAUUGGUUCUGAUGUCUGUUUAAUGUACAAACCUUGGAUUGCGAAUAACUUGGUUUGCGAGUGUUUUGCAAGACGAGCAAAAUUUUAAAAUAAAUUUUAACUUGAUAUACGAAAUAGG